rnacentral:rRNA from 1 species
UGGGGAAUAUUGGACAAUGGGCGCAAGCCUGAUCCAGCAAUGCCGCGUGAGUGAAGAAGGCCUUAGGGUUGUAAAGCUCUUUCGGCGGGGACGAUGAUGACGGUACCCGCAGAAGAAGCCCCGGCUAACUCCGUGCCAGCAGCCGCGGUAAUACGGAGGGGGCUAGCGUUGUUCGGAAUUACUGGGCGUAAAGGGCGCGUAGGCGGCGCGAUAAGUUGGGCGUGAAAGGCCCGGGCUCAACCCGGGGACUGCGCUUGAUACUGUCGCGCUGUGAGUCCGGGAGAGGAUGGCGGAAUUCCCAGUGUAGAGGUGAAAUUCGUAGAUAUUGGGAAGAACACCGGUGGCGAAGGCGGCCAUCUGGACCGGCACUGACGCUGAGACGCGAAAGCGUGGGGAGCAAACAGGAUUAGAUACCC